AGAGUUUGAUCAUGGCUCAGAACGAACGCUGGCGGCGUGGAUAAGACAUGCAAGUCGGACGAGAUUUUUCGUUGUAGCAAUACGAUGGAAAGUUUAGUGGCGAACGGGUGCUUAACACGUGGGCAACCUGCCGAGAAGUGGGGGAUAGCUCGCCGAAAGGCGAAUUAAUACCGCAUGUGAUUAGAGAGGACAUCCCUUUCGAAAUUAAAGUCGGGGCAACCUGACGCUUCUUGUGGGGCCCGCGGCCUAUCAGCUAGUUGGUGAGGUAACGGCCCACCAAGGCUUUGACGGGUAGCUGGUCUGAGAGGACGACCAGCCACACUGGGACUGAGACACGGCCCAGACACCUACGGGUGGCAGCAGUCGAGAAUUUUUGACAAUGGGGGAAACCCUGAUCGAGCGACGCCGCGUGGAGGAUGAAGGUCUUCGGAUUGUAAACUCCUGUCAUUGGGGAACAAUGCGUGACGGUUAACUGCCGUUGCGUUGAUAGUACCCGAAGAGGAAGAGACGGCUAACUCUGUGCCAGCAGCCGCGGUAAUACAGAGGUCUCAAGCGUUGUUCGGAUUCAUUGGGCGUAAAGGGUGCGUAGGCGGCGCGGUAAGUCGGGUGUGAAAUCUCGGAGCUUAACUCCGAAACUGCAUUCGAUACUGCCGUGCUUGAGGACUGGAGAGGAGACUGGAAUUUACGGUGUAGCGGUGAAAUGCGUAGAUAUCGUAAGGAAGACCAGUGGCGAAGGCGGGUCUCUGGACAGUUCCUGACGCUGAGGCACGAAGGCCAGGGGAGCAAACGGGAUUAGAUACCCUAGUAGUCC
rnacentral:rRNA from 1 species